CCUCGGGAGGCAGCAGUGGGGAAUAUUGCACAAUGGGCGCAAGCCUGAUGCAGCCAUGCCGCGUGUGUGAAGAAGGCCUUCGGGUUGUAAAGCACUUUCAGCGGGGAGGAAGGCGGUGAGGUUAAUAACCUCAUCGAUUGACGUUACCCGCAGAAGAAGCACCGGCUAACUCCGUGCCAGCAGCCGCGGUAAUACGGAGGGUGCAAGCGUUAAUCGGAAUUACUGGGCGUAAAGCGCACGCAGGCGGUCUGUCAAGUCGGAUGUGAAAUCCCCGGGCUCAACCUGGGAACUGCAUUCGAAACUGGCAGGCUAGAGUCUUGUAGAGGGGGGUAGAAUUCCAGGUGUAGCGGUGAAGUGCGUAGAGAUCUGGAGGAAUACCGGUGGCGAAGGCGGCCCCCUGGACAAAGACUGACGCUCAGGUGCGAAAGCGUGGGGAGCAAACAGGAUUAGAUACCCGAGUAGUC
rnacentral:rRNA from 1 species